rnacentral:piRNA from 1 species
CAGGAGUGAAACUGCAAACCUUCAUGGGGA